CCUACGUGAGGCAGCAGUGAGGAAUAUUGGUCAAUGGCCGUAAGGCUGAACCAGCCAAGUCGCGUGAAGGAAGAAGGAUCUAUGGUUUGUAAACUUCUUUUAUAGGGGAGUAAAGGUAUCCACGUGUGGAUAUUUGCAUGUACCCUAUGAAUACGCAUCGGGUAACUCCUGGCCAUCAGACGCGCUAAUACGGAGGAUGGGAACGUUUUCCGGCUUUAUUGGGGUUAAAUGGGGCGGUGGUUGUUUUUUAAGUCAGCGGUGAAAGUUUGUGGCUCAAACAUAAAAUGGCCGUUGAUACUGGAAGACUUGAGUGUGAUUGAGGUAGGCGGAAUGCGUGGUGUAGCGGUGAAAUGCAUAGAUAUAACGCAGAACUCCGAAGGCGAAGGCAGCUUACUAAGCCAUAACUGACGCUGAAGCACGAAAGCGUGGGGAUCAAACAGGAUUAGAUACCCCAGUAGUC
rnacentral:rRNA from 1 species